AGCAGCCGCGGUAAUUCCAGCUCCAAUAGCGUAUAUUAAAGUUGUUGCAGUUAAAAAGCUCGUAGUUGAAUUUCGGGAUUGGCGCAUCGGUCGUGCCUCACGGGGUAUGAACUGGUGCAGUCAAUUUCUCACCUUCUGGAGAACCGCGAUGUCCUUAAUUGGAUGCCGCGGGGAACCAGGACCUUUACUUUGAAAAAAUUAGAGUGUUUAAAGCAGGCAUUUUUGCUUGAAUACAUUAGCAUGGAAUAAUAAAAUAGGACGGCAUGGUUCUAUUUUGUUGGUUUCUAGGACCACCGUAAUGAUUAAUAGGGAUAGUUGGGGGCAUUAGUAUUCAAUUGUCAGAGGUGAAAUUCUUGGAUUUAUUGAAGACUAACUACUGCGAAAGCAUUUGCCAAGGAUGUUUUCAUUAAUCAAGAACGAAAGUUAGGGGAUCGAAGACGAUCAGAUACCGUCGUAGUC
rnacentral:misc_RNA from 1 species